CUUUCCGAGGAGCGCUGCGAGGCGCCGGCCGCAUCCGCUGCUGCCAGGCCCCCAGGCUCGGACCCCGCCCUGCGGCGGGUAUCAGUACAACGGCGCUCACCUGCG
rnacentral:ncRNA from 2 species